rnacentral:rRNA from 1 species
GAUGAACGCUGGCGGCGUGCCUAAUACAUGCAAGUCGAGCGAACGGACGAGAAGCUUGCUUUUCUGAUGUUAGCGGCGGACGGGUGAGUAACCCGUGGAUAACCUACCUAUUAGACUGGGAUAACUUCGGGAAACCGGAGCUAAUACCGGAUAAUAUUUUGAACCGCAUGGUUCAAAAGUGAAAGACGGUCUUGCUGUCACUUAUAGAUGGAUCCGCGCUGCAUUAGCUAGUUGGUAAGGUAACGGCUUACCAAGGCAACGAUGCAUAGCCGACCUGAGAGGGUGAUCGGCCACACUGGAACUGAGACACGGUCCAGACUCCUACGGGAGGCAGCAGUAGGGAAUCUUCCGCAAUGGGCGAAAGCCUGACGGAGCAACGCCGCGUGAGGGAUGAAGGUCUUCGGAUCGUAAAACGCUGUUAUUAGGGAAGAACAUAGGUGUAAGUAACUGUGCACAUCUUGACGGUACCUAAUCAAAAAGCCGCGGCUAACUACGUG